rnacentral:rRNA from 1 species
AUUGAACGCUGGCGGCAGGCUUAACACAUGCAAGUCGAGCGAGCGACGGACGGGUGAGUAAUGUCUGGGAACCUGCCUGAUGGAGGGGGAUAACUACUGGAAACGGUAGCUAAUACCGCAUACCAUCAGAUGCGCCCAGUGGGGAUUAGCGAGGGGGUGGGGUAAUGGCUCACCUCGGAGACGAUCCCUAGCUGGUCUGAGAGGAUGACCGGCCACCCUGGAGCUGAGACACGGUCCAGACGCCUACGGUAGGCAGCAGUGGGGAAUAUUGGACAAUGGGCGCAAGCCUGAUGCAGCCAUGCCGCGUGUGUGAAGAAGGCCUUCGGGUUGUAAAGCACUUUCAGCGGGGAGGCGUUACUCGCAGAAGAAGCACCGGCUAACUCCGUGCCAGCAGCCGCGGUAAUUC